rnacentral:rRNA from 1 species
UACGAGGGGGGCAAAUGUUGUUCGGAAUCACUGGGCGUAAAGGGAGCGUAGGUGGGUGGUUAAGUUAGGUGUUUAAUCCUGGGGCCCAACCCCAGUCGUGCACCUAAAACUGGACAUCUUGAAUAGUGGAGAGGUCAGUGGAAUUGGGGGUGUAGCGGUGGAAUGCGUAGAGAUCCCCAAGAACACCAGUUGCGAAGGCGGCUGACUGGACACAUAUUGACGCUGAGGCUCGAAAGCAUGGGGAGCAAACAGG